rnacentral:rRNA from 1 species
CGGAAUUGUUCUAAGUAUAAAGCACUCUUUUACUGUGAAACUGCGAAUGGCUCAUUAAAUCAGUUAUCGUUUAUUUGAUAGUACCCUACUACAUGGAUACCUGUGGUAAUUCUAGAGCUAAUACAUGCGCAAAACCCCGACUUCGGAAGGGGUGUAUUUAUUAGAUAAAAAACCAAUGCCCUUCGGGGCUCCUUGGUGAUUCAUAAUAACUUCACGAAUCGCAUGGCCUUGCGCCGGCGAUGGUUCAUUCAAAUUUCUGCCCUAUCAACUUUCGAUGGUAGGAUAGUGGCCUACCAUGGUGGCAACGGGUAACGGGGAAUUAGGGUUCGAUUCCGGAGAGGGAGCCUGAGAAACGGCUACCACAUCCAAGGAAGGCAGCAGGCGCGCAAAUUACCCAAUCCCGAUACGGGGAGGUAGUGACAAUAAAUACUGAUACAGGGCUCUUUUGGGUCUUGUAAUUGGAAUGAGAACAAUCUAAAUCCCUUAACGAGGAACAAUUGGAGGGCAAGUCUGGUGCCAGCAGCCGCGGUAAUUCCAGCUCCAAUAGCGUAUAUUAAAGUUGUUGCAGUUAAAAAGCUCGUAGUUGAACCUUGGGCCCGUCCUGCCGGUCCGCCUCACCGCGAGUACUGGUCCGGAUGGGCCUUUCUUUCUGGGGAAUCCCAUGGCCUUCACUGGCUGUGGGC